rnacentral:misc_RNA from 1 species
GUAGGUGAACCUGCGGAAGGAUCAUUAACACGUAUCCAACGUUAAAACAACCCUGUGAACAUUCAAACGCGACUCGCCUACUCUCGUGUGUUCAGCAAUCCCUAGUAAAUCAUUGUUAAACAGCUUUUGAUUUAGGGACUUCUGCCACCUUGUCGAAAGAUUUUGUAGGUUUGAGGGCAGAGCAGCGACCUGGUACCCCGCUGCACAAUCAAAGUCUGUCAGUGUCUUUGAUUGUGUAAGGGUGUCGUAGAACAACGCUCGCUGUAGGCCGACACGGCCGGCGACCAGGUCUCCGGGUCACCACGCCCCUUAAUUACCCCACUUCUAAAACUGCGGUCGCGUUAAUUCUGACGAUCGAAAAAACUUUGAACAACUGUUAACAAUGGAUAUCUUGGUUCUC